UUAAGUUAGAAAGGGCGCACGGUGAAUGCCUUGGCACUAGGAGCCGAUGAAGGACGGGACGAACACCGAUAUGCUUCGGGGAGCUGUAAGCAAGCUUUGAUCCGGAGAUUUCCGAAUGGGGAAACCCACCACUCGUAAUGGAGUGGUAUCCAUAUCUGAAUACAUAGGAUAUGAGAAGGCAGACCCGGGGAACUGAAACAUCUAAGUACCCGGAGGAAGAGAAAGCAAAUGCGAUUCCCUGAGUAGCGGCGAGCGAAACGGGACCAGCCCAAACCAAGAGGCUUGCCUCUUGGGGUUGUAGGACACUCUGUACGGAGUUACAAAGGAACGAGGUAGAUGAAGAGGUCUGGAAAGGCCCGCCAUAGGAGGUAACAGCCCUGUAGUCAAAACUUCGUUCUCUCCUGAGUGGAUCCUGAGUACGGCGGAACACGUGAAAUUCCGUCGGAAUCCGGGAGGACCAUCUCCCAAGGCUAAAUACUCCCUAGUGACCGAUAGUGAACCAGUACCGUGAGGGAAAGGUGAAAAGCACCCCGGAAGGGGAGUGAAAGAGAUCCUGAAACCGUGUGCCUACAAGUAGUCAGAGCCCGUUAACGGGUGAUGGCGUGCCUUUUGUAGAAUGAACCGGCGAGUUACGAUCCCGUGCAAGGUUAAGCAGAAGAUGCGGAGCCGCAGCGAAAGCGAGUCUGAAUAGGGCGAAUUGAGUACGUGGUCGUAGACCCGAAACCAGGUGAUCUACCCAUGUCCAGGGUGAAGUUCAGGUAACACUGAAUGGAGGCCCGAACCCACGCACGUUGAAAAGUGCGGGGAUGAGGUGUGGGUAGGGGUGAAAUGCCAAUCGAACCUGGAGAUAGCUGGUUCUCUCCGAAAUAGCUUUAGGGCUAGCCUCAAGGUAAGAGUCUCGGAGGUAGAGCACUGAUUGGACUAGGGGCCCCUACCGGGUUACCGAAUUCAGUCAAACUCCGAAUGCCGAUGACUUAUCCUUGGGAGUCAGACUGCGAGUGAUAAGAUCCGUAGUCGAAAGGGAAACAGCCCAGACCGCCAGCUAAGGUCCCAAAGUAUACGUUAAGUGGAAAAGGAUGUGGAGUUGCUUAGACAACCAGGAUGUUGGCUUAGAAGCAGCCACCAUUUAAAGAGUGCGUAAUAGCUCACUGGUCGAGUGACUCUGCGCCGAAAAUGUACCGGGGCUAAACGUAUCACCGAAGCUGCGGACUGUUCUUCGAACAGUGGUAGGAGAGCGUUCUAAGGGCUGUGAAGCAAGACCGGAAGGACUUGUGGAGCGCUUAGAAGUGAGAAUGCCGGUAUGAGUAGCGAAAGAGGGGUGAGAAUCCCCUCCACCGAAUGCCUAAGGUUUCCUGAGGAAGGCUCGUCCGCUCAGGGUUAGUCGGGACCUAAGCCGAGGCCGAAAGGCGUAGGCGAUGGAUAACAGGUUGAUAUUCCUGUACCACCUCCUCACCAUUUGAGCAAUGGGGGGACGCAGGAGGAUAGGGUAAGCGCGGUAUUGGAUAUCCGCGUCCAAGCAGUUAGGCUGGGAAAUAGGCAAAUCCGUUUCCCGUGAAGGCUGAGCUGUGAUGGCGAGCGAAUUAUAGUAGCGAAGUUCCUGAUUCCACACUGCCAAGAAAAGCCUCUAGCGAGGUGAGAGGUGCCCGUACCGCAAACCGACACAGGUAGGCGAGGAGAGAAUCCUAAGGUGAUCGAGAGAACUCUCGUUAAGGAACUCGGCAAAAUGACCCCGUAACUUCGGGAGAAGGGGUGCUCUGUUAGGGUGCAAGCCCGAGAGAGCCGCAGUGAAUAGGCCCAGGCGACUGUUUAGCAAAAACACAGGUCUCUGCGAAGCCGUAAGGCGAAGUAUAGGGGCUGACGCCUGCCCGGUGCUGGAAGGUUAAGAGGAGCGCUUAGCGUAAGCGAAGGUGCGAAUUGAAGCCCCAGUAAACGGCGGCCGUAACUAUAACGGUCCUAAGGUAGCGAAAUUCCUUGUCGGGUAAGUUCCGACCCGCACGAAAGGCGCAACGAUCUGGGCACUGUCUCAACGAGAGACUCGGUGAAAUUAUAGUACCUGUGAAGAUGCAGGUUACCCGCGACAGGACGGAAAGACCCCGUGGAGCUUUACUGCAGCCUGAUAUUGAAUGUUGGUACAGCUUGUACAGGAUAGGUAGGAGCCUUGGAAACCGGAGCGCCAGCUUCGGUGGAGGCAUCGGUGGGAUACUACCCUGGCUGUAUUGACCUUCUAACCCGCCGCCCUUAUCGGGCGGGGAGACAGUGUCAGGUGGGCAGUUUGACUGGGGCGGUCGCCUCCUAAAAGGUAACGGAGGCGCCCAAAGGUUCCCUCAGAAUGGUUGGAAAUCAUUCGCAGAGUGUAAAGGCACAAGGGAGCUUGACUGCGAGACCUACAAGUCGAGCAGGGACGAAAGUCGGGCUUAGUGAUCCGGUGGUUCCGCAUGGAAGGGCCAUCGCUCAACGGAUAAAAGCUACCCCGGGGAUAACAGGCUUAUCUCCCCCAAGAGUCCACAUCGACGGGGAGGUUUGGCACCUCGAUGUCGGCUCAUCGCAUCCUGGGGCUGUAGUCGGUCCCAAGGGUUGGGCUGUUCGCCCAUUAAAGCGGUACGCGAGCUGGGUUCAGAACGUCGUGAGACAGUUCGGUCCCUAUCCGUCGCGGGCGCAGGAAAUUUGAGAGGAGCUGUCCUUAGUACGAGAGGACCGGGAUGGACGCACCGCUGGUGUACCAGUUGUUCUGCCAAGGGCAUCGCUGGGUAGCUAUGUGCGGACGGGAUAAGUGCUGAAAGCAUCUAAGCAUGAAGCCCCCCUCAAGAUGAGAUUUCCCAUUCCGCAAGGAAGUAAGAUCCCUGAAAGAUGAUCAGGUUGAUAGGUCUGAGGUGGAAGUGUGGCGACACAUGGAGCUGACAGAUACUAAUCGAUCGAGGACUUAACCAA
rnacentral:rRNA from 1 species